AUGAAAUAUCAAGAUUUAUUAGUCCCAUUUCACUCAUGUUCUAAUAAUUCUAGUCACUUUACACUCCCAUUCUGAUCCUGGUCCCACUGAAAAUCACGCCAAGAAAUGGACUGGGACCAAACCAAACCAAACCAAACAUGAAAUUCAUGGUCCCACCGGCCAGCCUACUCGCUGCUAAGCUAUCCCUCGCUGCUAAGCUAUCCCUCGCUGCUAAGCUAUCCCUCGCUGGCUAUCCCUCACUGCUAAGCUAUCCCUCACUACUAAGCUAUCUAUCGCUGCCAAUCUAUCUAUUGCUGCUAAUCUAUCACUGCUAAUCUAUCGCUGCUAAUCUAUCGCUGCUAAUCUAUCGCUGCCAACCUAUCUACCGCGGCGAAUCUAUCUAUUGCUGCCAACCAACCUACCUACCACUGCCAACCUAUCUAUCGCUGCCAAUCUAUCACUGCCAAUCUAUCGCUGCCAACCUAUCUACUGCAGUGAAUCUAUCUAUCACUAUCAUUACUAGUUCAAAAUAGAACUAGAGCAUAAAUACACUAAACUUCUUUUGAUAGGUAAUGAUUUUUGGUAACACUCAUAGCAUUAUAUCAUCUAUAUAGGGUAAAUCAUGGUCCCAUUUGAUCCCAUUUUACAAAAUGGAACCAAAUGGGACCAGAAUCAGUAAUUUAUAAGAAGAACAUGACCUGGGACUAGAUUUAUAAUAUAAACAGUGUAAAGUGACUAAUUUAAUAAACUUAUUCCACAC
rnacentral:sRNA from 1 species